GGCCUUUGAAAAGCACUCGUUGGGCCUUUUGCUAAUGACCCACUGAGCCUCAAGAAAGGGCAAAGUGAAAACACCACUUUUGGGUGAAGUGGCAGCAUGUCGUGCUGUUCCACUUCAAUUGGUGGUGUGACAAGG